rnacentral:rRNA from 1 species
CAGCAGCCGCGGGAACACGGAGGGUGCAAGCGUUAAUCGGAAUUACUGGGCGUAAAGCGCACGCAGGCGGUUUGUUAAGUCGGAUGUGAAAUCCCCGAGCUUAACUUGGGAACUGCAUUUGAAACUGGCAAGCUAGAGUCUUGUAGAGGGGGGUAGAAUUCCAGGUGUAGCGGUGAAAUGCGUAGAGAUCUGGAGGAAUACCGGUGGCGAAGGCGGCCCCCUGGACAAAGACUGACGCUCAGGUGCGAAAGCGUGGGGAGCAGACAGGAUUAGAUACCCGCGUAGUCCCUGUCUCUUAUAC